rnacentral:rRNA from 1 species
UACGAAGGGGGCUAGCGUUGCUCGGAAUUACUGGGCGUAAAGGGCGCGUAGGCGGACAGCUUAGUCAGAGGUAAAAGCCCAGGGCUCAACCUUGGAACUGCCUUUGAUACUGGCUGUCUUGAGUUCGGGAGAGGUGAGUGGAAUGCCGAGUGUAGAGGUGAAAUUCGUAGAUAUUCGGAAGAACACCAGUGGCGAAGGCGACUUACUGGACACAUAUUGACGCUGAGGUGCGAAAGCGUGGGGAGCAAACAGG